CGGCCGACCCCUCCCACCCCGGACAAAAACUGUUUGUGCCCCUUCCAUCUGGCAGGAGGCUGAGGUCCAUCAGGACUACGACCUCCCGCCACACGAACAGUUUCUUCCCGUCUGCAGUCGGGCUCAUCAAUAGAGCCCGGUCCCCCACUGCCUGACUAUAACACUCCACCGGUCACUCCCCCUCAUACCGCACAUGCCACUUUAACUGCAAUUCAUCACUUUUGCACUUUAUGCUUAAUAUUUUUCUUUUUUACUUUUUAAUAUUUAAAUUUUGUAAACUUUAUUCUCUUGUUUUAUACUAACCCAUAGCCUUAGCCUUAUUCUACUAACCCAUUGCAUUAGCAUUUCAUUCCACUUUAUUUUAUUACUUGUGCACUGUUGUCUUGUCUGUCUACUGUCAGUUGCACCAACCGCCAAGACAAAUUCCUUGUAUGUUUGGCAUAUUUUGGUAAUAAAUGUUUCCUGAUCCUGAUUCCUGAUUCCUGAUAUGACCUGGGACAAGAUGACGACGAGAAUGGCUUAGGAGGAGUGACGGCUUGGUGUGGAGCUUAUCCUCCUACACAAUCAAUUGAUCAAAAUAAACUGUGUUCAACCUUACCCCGUGGCUGGCUUGUGUCCUACCCAUGGGCAUGCCACAAUACUUAUUUGCUUUGAUUAUGUAACUUGUGUGCGUAACUAAACAAACACCUUUUUUUUACCAAUUUAUGUUGACUACAUAAUUCAAGUAUGAACAUAUUUUACCCAAAACCCGGAUCUUUCCUAAAGUAGUUUUGUUUAAAUUCCCAUUUAACCACUGAGCUCUGCCCAAGGGUGAGAAGAUAAAAUGAGUAGAAAUGAUAUGUAUACUGUCCUUAAAGGUGGUAUGCUAUUUACAAGUCUACGUAUUUAUUUACAGUAACUAAACAUACAAAGUUUUCAAAAUAAUGUAACUUUUGCUGUGGCAGUAAGAUGAUAACAGAUUCAAUUUCCCUUAAUCCCCAGCGGAUACAAACAUUGUUUUCUGCUCAACAAACAUGGUUUCUAACUAAUACCAGAUUUUGGAAUAUUUUAAAUUGUCUAUUGUUGACAGGGGUAUUUGCUGGUGUUCUUCUUGGUACGUUGUCGCCACCUGUCAAUGAGGCAAAUGGUGUGACUCAGGAUGUCUAUCGCAAUACCAUCAAAGUCCGAUGUCACCAAAACGUUGCUCUAUCGUCUCCAAGUGUUUAACUUUUUCAAAAGAAAUGUUAUUUCUACUUAUCUUAAAGACAUCCACGCAGACAUCCCAACCCUUCUUUCACUAGUCUAAUUAUUGAUUUAAACAUUUGCCUGUUACUGACAGAUUUGAACACACCCGCUCAGUGUGUUGAAGCUAUUUUUACUCUUUAUUGAAUAUUCAACAUGAACAGGCAGACUAACUUAUUUCUUAUUAUCUAGGACUGUGUUUUUCAGGCUACUUAAUGACCUAGUUAGAGACUGGGUGCAAGAGCACCAAAAUCAACGUUAGGAGGGGAAGCCCAUUACUUGUUAGCACGUCUCUUUUUUCUAUCUCUCCCAGCAUCUGUCUGCUAAUAUGUCUAUUAGUGGCUUUAUCUCUAAGGUCGAGUAUGUCUCGUCGUCACUAUCAGUCAAUCUCUCGCGCUUUUUGGAGCAGAGAUCUUUCUUUUUUUCACACCCUUCUGAAAGGGGCCCUCUGAACUUUGAAUUUAAUCCAUGAUGGCCCUAUAACUGGUACCUACUUAAAUCUACAGUGUCAGGUAAUUAGAGAACAGCAGAGUGAGUUUCAACGCACUUUUGUCCAUAUACACAUAGCUGCGGGCGCGCUGCAUUCCUACUGUCACACCGACGCAUACAGCAAUGCAUGCCUCCACGAGGACACCCAAAAAUUGGGACUCAAAAUUAGUUACCUGAGCUUUGAUAUGUGCAGUGCUGUGAAUGACGGAUGAUUUUUUAGCGUUGGGUUCAUUUACAUAGUUUUACUUUCCUCACAGCAUCAGCACUCUUAAUGUUUGUUUUUUCUCCUCCCCACAAAUUCCUCUGUGCUGAUUGCAUGUGUGUGUGUCCACACCCCAUCAGUGUAUGUGUGUGUCAUAGUGUGUUAUUACAGGGGGGAGAGCAGCAGAAGCUUGUCUUUUUC
ensembl:lncRNA